ACACAUUCUGGAUCAAAGCAGACAUGCGGCCGGCGCUCUGCGAUCCAAGGCACACUGGGGUCUUUCAUCCGGUGUUUUUAAAAAGGAGGAAACAAAAGGCUCAGAGGCAGGGCCCCAGGUGCGCUCGCCCGCGGGGGCUGCGGCGCGGACGACCGAAGGUAACAGGCACGUCCCGGCCGAACUUCGAGACCCGGGCCCGGCAGCCGCCCCGGCGGGGAAGUUUCGUUUCCCGGACAGGGGAAGCCGAAGCGCCUCCUCGGGACAGGACCCCGCGCCGCCGGGACGCGCAGCCUUGAUACAAACGUCCUUGGGUGGCCGAGGAGUCCAGGAGUCGUUGCAGUCGUGGUCUCGGGGUUACUGGGGAUUGGGGGUGAGCCGGUAGAGACUGCGGAGCCCCGAGCACCACUCGGCCACCAGACAGGACCGGGGCCCCGCUCCUUUCCUCUUUUACUUUGAUUACGGUUGGAGAGGUUGGGUUUUGUGGUCGCAGCCCCACCUCGCCUGACCUCCCAUUCGCGGGCUGGGACAAAGGCGGCUGCAGCCGUGUCCAGCAGGCAGGGGACAGCCCCGCGCGGGCCCGACGCCCCCUCUGACCACCCGCCCGGGCUCGCGGGAGGGGAGAAAGAAAACCACGACUUCCUGGAAAAGUCUUCACCGUAAAUAUUAAUCUCUUUGGCAUGAAGAGGAAAACACUGCAGCUAAUUUUUCAUGGGAUAACAAAAAUAUAAACUGCAAUUUCUUUUAUUUUUUCCCUUUCGAUGGUCUUUUUAAACGAGGAGUAAAGAUUUCAACGCCAGGUCCAUUUUCCAAAUUUUGUACCAGAACCUUGAGGAUGCUUGUCUCUCGCGCGCUUCUCCGCAGACCGAACCCUCUCCGGAACUCAGAGCUGUUCACCCAAGUCAGCGGAGGAGGCCUCCUGGGACUUGAGCCUGAGGGUGGCGAAGAACCCUAGGCAGAGAUCAUCAACUUGGUACCGAUGAGUGACGCGGAGCUUGAACAUUCCAGCGACUUGCUCCAGGGCCACUCCCAGUUAAGAGGCUGAGUGUUAACUGCAAGAGGCUGAGUGUUAACUACGCCGUUGGCUCCAGGAACCGAACCGGGUUUGGAUACAGACCCAGUCACACCAUCCAUGAAAAGCUGUUUCUAUAAUAUGAAAAAUUGUUAAAUGACGCUUUAGUAAAAGCCAUUUAAAGAUCUUUUCUAAUAAAUUUUUCAUCUUUCCAAACAA